rnacentral:rRNA from 1 species
UACGGGGGGGGGUAAGCGUUGUUCGGAAUUACUGGGCGUAAAGGGCUCGUAGGCGGCCAACUAAGUCAGACGUGAAAUCCCUCAGCUUAACUGGGGAACUGCGUCUGAUACUGGAUGGCUUGGAUUCGGGAGAGGAAUGCGGAAUUCCAGGUGUAGCGGUGAAAUGCGUAGAUAUCUGGAGGAACACCGGUGGCGAAGGCGGCAUUCUGGACCGAUAUUGACGCUGAGGAGCGAAAAGCCAGGGGGAGCAAACGGG